CGGACGGGUGAGUAACGCGUGGGGAACCUGCCCUGUACCGGGGGAUAGCAGCCGGAAACGGCUGAUAAUACCGCAUAAGCGCACGAAUGUCGCAUGACANUGGUGUGAAAAACUCCGGUGGUAUAGGAUGGACCCGCGUCUGAUUAGCCGGUUGGUGGGGUAAAAGCCUACCAAGACGAAGAAUCAGUAGCCGACGUUGUAGAGACUGACCGGCCACAUUGGGACUGAGACACGGCCCAGACUCCUACGGGAGGCAGCAGCC
rnacentral:rRNA from 1 species